GGUCGUGUGGUUUAGAUGGUUAUAAUUUCUGCUUAACACGCAGACGGUCCCAAGUUCGAGUCUUGGCACGAUCAA
rnacentral:tRNA from 1 species